UACGGGGGGGGCAAGCGUUGUUCGGAAUUACUGGGCGUAAAGGGCUCGUAGGCGGCCAACUAAGUCAGACGUGAAGUCCCCAGGCUCAACCUGGGAACUGCGUCUGAUACUGGAUGGCUUGAAUUCGGGAGAGGGAUGCAGAAUUCCAGGUGUAGCGGUGAAAUGCGUAGAUAUCUGGAGGAAUACCGGUGGCGAAGGCGGCAUCCUGGACCGACAUUGACGCUGAUGAGCGAAAGCUAGGGGAGCAAACGGG
rnacentral:rRNA from 1 species